CCUAGCCCCUCACUCCUGACACUUCCCCUCCCCCAGCGCACCGCGUUCAUAUACACAUGGAAGGACUGAAGGAGACGGGAAGAUGGCAGAAGAGCAACCCGAGAGCCACUACUGUGUCUGUGCACAUCAACUACAGACUGCAAGAUGGUAAAGAAUCUACCCACAGUUCGGGAGACCUGACUUCGAUCCCUGGGUCGGGAAGAUCCCCUGGAGAGUCGAAUGGUGACCUGCUCUGGUACUCUUGCCCGGGGAAUUCCAUGGACAGAGCAGCUUGGCAGCCUACAGUCCACGGGGUGGCAAAGAGUCAGACACAACUGAGGGACUAACACACUUUCAUCUCAUUGGUAAUGUGAUUUAAUUCUCUUCUAUCCUUAUAACAGCAUAAUUGUGGUUCGUAAAUAACUAUUUCUUCUCAUUCUAUACAUGUACUUGAAGAUUCAUUUUCAUCAAAAAGACAGAAUGUAAACCAAACCAUAAUAGAAUAUUUGUUGUUCAAUAGGAUUUUGAUACAGAGAAACAGAAGGGGAAAUAUCUUUUAAAUGCAGAUAUAAUUUCUAACUUUUUCUGAAUAAAGCUGUUUAAUUGUGACCCAAUUUGGGUUAUUUGAAUAUCUUCCAUUUACACCAUAUUAGACUAUGCCAAAGCCUUCGACUGUGUGGAUCACAAUAAACUGUGGAAAAUUCUGAAA